CUCAGAUUGAACGCUGGCGGCAUGCCUAACACAUGCAAGUCGAACGGCAGCACAGCAGUAGCAAUACUGUGGGUGGCGAGUGGCGGACGGGUGAGGAAUACGUCGGAAUCUGCCCAGUCGUGGGGGAUAACUAGCCGAAAGGUUAGCUAAUACCGCAUACGACCGAGAGGUGAAAGCGGGGGACCGCAAGGCCUCGCGCGAUUGGAUGAGCCGACGUCGGAUUAGCUAGUUGGCGGGGUAAAGGCCCACCAAGGCGACGAUCCGUAGCUGGUCUGAGAGGAUGAUCCGCCACACUGGGACUGAGACACGGCCCAGACUCCUACGGGAGGCAGCAGUGGGGAAUUUUGGACAAUGGGCGCAAGCCUGAUCCAGCCAUGCCGCGUGAGUGAAGAAGGCCUUCGGGUUGUAAAGCUCUUUCGGUGGGGAAGAAAUUGCUUCGGUUAAUACCUGGAGUAGAUGACGGUACCCGCAUAAGAAGCACCGGCUAACUACGUG
rnacentral:rRNA from 1 species